AUGUCAGAAGAUUUUGCAUUCAUGCAUUGCAUUAAAAGUGAAGACAUGAACGCUUCUCUAUUAGUGCACACCCCUGCGGGCCAAUGUCGAACCUCCAUGAUUUGCAACGACGUCCUCGUAGAAAUCGAAGGACUGGAAUUCCUUGUCUCUCCCAUCAUACUGAAGUCCUGUAGCAUUGAUCUCAUUCUGGGAAUGAAUUGGUUAAAAGCGCAUACUGCUUCUAUCGUUUGCGCCACCAAGACCGUCCAUCUGCUACACCCUUCUGAUGAGAUAAUAAGCUAUAAUGCCCAUCUGGUUAAGAAUGCCGAGGUAAGGCUCUAUGCAUUGAAUGCAUUGAACGCCGCACCACUCGAGGGCAUUGAAAACAUUCCCGUCGUGCGUGACUUCCUCGACGUCUUUCCAGAAGAACUCCCAGGGAUUCCCCCUGCUAGAGCUGUCGAAUUCGUCAUCGACUUGAAACCAGGCACCACUCCUAUAGCCAAGCGACCCUACAAGAUGCCGCCGCAUGAACUCCUUGAGCUUAAAGAGGAAAUCGAUAAAUCUCUUCGAAGUGGUUUCAUUCGUCCAAGUUGCUCUCCUUGGGGAGCACCUUCUCUCUUUGUCAAGAAGAAAGAUGGGACAAACCGAUUGGUCCAAGACUACCGUCCUAUAAAUCAAGCUACCAUUCAGAAUAAGUAUCCUCUUCCUCGGAUCAAUGAUCUGUAUGAUCAACUGGCUGGUUCAUCAGUGUUCUCUAAACUCGACUUGAGGUUGGGUUACCACCAGAUCCGUGUUCGUGAGGAGGAUAUCCCCAAGACCGCCUUUGUGACUCGUUAUGGUUCAUAUGAGUACACCGUCAUGUCUUUCGGCUUAACCAAUGCUCCAGCCACCUUCUCUCGCCUGAUGAACUAUAUAUUCAUGGAUUACCUCGACAAGUUCGUCGUGGUUUACCUGGAUGAUAUCCUGAUAUUUUCCAAGAAUGAAGAAGAACAUGCUGAACAUCUUCGUCUUGUGCUGGAAAAGCUACGAGAGCAUCAGCUAUAUGCCAAGUUCUCCAAGUGUGAAUUCUGGCUUCCCGAAGUAACCUAUCUCGGGCAUGUCAUCUCUAAGGAUGGUAUUGCCGUCAACCCUGAACGAGUUCAGGCUAUUCUCGAUUGGACUCCUCCGAAGAAUGUCAAGCAAGUCAGAAGUUUUCUCGGUCUCGCCAGCUAUUGCCAUCGAUUCGUCGAGAACUUCUCCAAGAUUGCCAGGCCUCUGACUAACCUGUUGCAUAAGGGCGUCAAGUUCCAAUGGACAGAUAAAUGUCAGGAAAGUUUCCAGGCACUCAAAGACAAGUUGACUUCUGCCCCAGUACUAGCUCCUCCUGAUACUAAGAAGGACUUCAUCAUUUACUGCAACGCUUCCCGUCAAGGAUUAGGCUGUGUCCUAAUGCAAGAGCGCAAAGUGAUUGCUUAUGCCUCUCGGCAAUUGCGCCCUCACGAAGAGAACUACCCAGUUCACGACCUCGAACUUGCUGCUGUCAUUCAUGCACUGAAACAGUGGCGACAUUACCUUCUCGGUAAUCGUUGCGAGAUCUUCACUGACCACCAAAGUCUGAAGUAUCUGUUUACUCAGCCAGACCUGAACCUCCGUCAGCAGAGAUGGAUGGAGACUGUUGCAGACUUUGACUUGGGUAUUUCCUAUACACCAGGCAAGGCUAAUGUAAUGGCUGAUGCCUUGAGCCGCAAGUCUUACUGCAACCACCUCCAGGUUCACAAAGUUCAGCCCUCACUCGUUGAAGAAUUCAGAAAGCUGAACCUCCAUAUUGUUCCUCCGGGUGCACUCGCUCCCCCUCCUCCGGAGUUACGCAAGAUGAACCUCCAUGUUGUUUCCAGGGGUUCUCUCAAUACCCUGGUUGCGAAACCAGAUCUUGUGGACACCAUCAAAUGGAUACAGAAAUGUGACGAUGAAGUCGAGAGGAUUAAACGUUAUCUCGCAGAAGGAAAGCCCUCAUUCUUCACUGUGGAUGACGCAGGCACCCUAUUCUUCAAAGGUCGCCUAGUGGUACCGAGUAAGAGGGAAAACCUGAAUCUGACUCCAAAAGUUAUGAAAGAAGCUCAUGAUACGCCUUUGUCUAUUCAUCCCGGUAGCACCAAGAUGUACCAAGACAUUCGUCAGAGAUUCUGGUGGUCUAACAUGAAGCAAGACAUUGCUCGUUAUGUUGCUGAAUGUGACGUUUGCCGUCGUAUCAAAGCAGAACAUCAAAGGCCUGCUGGAACUCUGCAACCUAUAUCUAUUCCUGAAUGGAAAUGGGACCAUGUCGAGAUGGACUUCGUUACUGGAUUUCCCAAAUCGCAAAAGGGUAAUGAUGCUAUUCUUGUCGUCAUUGACCGGCUUUCUAAGGUUGCCCACUUUCUGGCAGUCAAAGAAACGAUCACUGCUAGUUAG
rnacentral:rRNA from 1 species